CAGUUACGGUUCAUUGGAUAUUAUUUUUUUACAUGGAUAACUGUGGUAAAUCUAGAGCUAAUACAUGCACAAAAGCUCUAACCUUUAAGGAAAGGGCGCAUUUAUUAGACCAAGACCAAUGGUUAUAAUUUAUAUUAUAACUUAAAAAGUUGGUGACUCUGAAUAACUGAGCUAAUCGUAUGGCCUAUGUGCCGACGAUAUAUCCUUCAAGCGUCUGCCUUAUCAACUGUA
rnacentral:rRNA from 1 species